ACGGAGGAGUAUGAAAUUGCGUACGCUUAUAUAUUUAUAUUAGAGAAGUGCAGAAGGCUAAUGUUUUUUCAAAAUUAUGCAUAAAAAUAUAUUAAAUCGAUAAAAAAAAAACAU